CUCAGCCUCUGGGUAUUAAUCUGCUGAGCUGGUGGCCACCUAAAUACAAUCGUCCUGUUCCCCUCAUUGGUCUCUCCGGUCUCCUGAUUCCAGCCACAUUUUGGUGAGCCAGCCAGGAGUGAAGACGACAGGUUUGCUGUCUCCUUUGCCUGUGGGUCUGGGGCCCCAGCCUGGGGGAGACCCGUGACUCCAGGCAUGCUAUCAGGACAACUUCAACCCGAGGGGAGAUCAGCUCUCCCGCAACCUGGUGCCGCUCUCUGACAGCACAACAGAACCUAAGGGGCUACAGGAUGAUUCAAGGAACAGUGUGCUACAGGACCUCGAUGGGGUCUCGCUCUGUCCUGGAGUGCAAUGGCACGAUCUUGGCUCACUGCAACCUCCGCCUCCCAGGUUCAAGCAAUUCUCCUGCCUCAGCCUCCCGAGUAGCUGGGACUACAGGCACACGCCAACACGCCAGGCUAAUUUUUUGUAUUUUUAAUAGAGAUGGAGUUUCACCAUGUUCCCCAGGCUGGUCUUGAACUCCUGAGCUCAGGCAAUCCACCUUCCUCUGCCUCCCAAAGUGCUAGGAUUACAGGCGUGAGCCACCGCGCCCGGUCUAUUUAUUUU
rnacentral:lncRNA from 1 species